rnacentral:rRNA from 1 species
GGUCCAAGCUAAAAGGGUCAGGAGGAUACCUAAGCACACAGAGGGGAUGAAAGACGUGGUUACUGGGAUAGUCUGGGAGUGGAAGCCACUUGAUCGGAAUUU